GCUACUGCUACUUUCAACUCGCUGGAUCAAACAUUCGUUGAAUAUCUUGAACAGUCGAGUAUCGACAAAGUUGAGGAGGUGUUAUAGCUCACUAUUGAAUCAAGCUGGAUGGAUCCGAUCGUCCAGUACUUGACUGAUGAAAUUCUUCCUAAAAAUUUUUCAGAAGCUAAAUGACUCCGAUGGACGGCCUCUCAAUAUGUAAU
rnacentral:lncRNA from 1 species